rnacentral:rRNA from 1 species
AUUGAACGCUGGCGGCAGGCCUAACACAUGCAAGUCGAACGGUAGCACAAAGGAGCUUGCUCCUUGGGUGACGAGUGGCGGACGGGUGAGUAAUGUCUGGGAAACUGCCCGAUGGAGGGGGAUAACUACUGGAAACGGUAGCUAAUACCGCAUAACGUCGCAAGACCAAAGAGGGGGACCUUCGGGCCUCUUGCCAUCGGAUGUACCCAGAUGGGAUUAGCUAGUAGGUGGGGUAACGGCUCACCUAGGCGACGAUCCCUAGCUGGUCUGAGAGGAUGACCAGCCACACUGGAACUGAGACACGGUCCAGACUCCUACGGGAGGCAGCAGUGGGGAAUAUUGCACAAUGGGCGCAAGCCUGAUGCAGCCAUGCCGCGUGUAUGAAGAAGGCCUUCGGGUUGUAAAGUACUUUCAGCGAGGAGGAAGGUGCUGUGGUUAAUAACCGCAGCAAUUGACGUUACUCGCAGAAGAAGCACCGGCUAACUCCGUGCCAGCAGCCGCGGUAAUACGGAGGGUGCAAGCGUUAAUCGGAAUUACUGGGCGUAAAGCGCACGCAGGCGGUCUGUCAAGUCGGAUGUGAAAUCCCCGGGCUCAACCUGGGAACUGCAUCCGAAACUGGCAGGCUAGAG